ensembl:lncRNA
AUUGUGUGUGUGUGUGUGUGUGUGUGUGUGUGUGUGUGUGUGUUCCAGUGAGCCCCACCGGUGCUAUGACUCGGUCUAACAGUAUUCCAGAUCAGGAGGCGUUUGAUCUGUAUGGAGACGGACGAGUGUUGUGUGGCAGUAACACAUCACUGGAGGAGCGACCGCGAGCCAUCAGUCGCUCCGGAUCAUUCCGUGACAGCACAGACGAAGGUGUGUGUGUGUGUGUGUGUGUGAGAUCCUAAUUGAUGACUGUGUGAGUGUGUGUAUCAGGGCUGAGCUGAUGUGCUCUAGCACUGAGCCCUCUGUUGGUGGUGAGCAGUAUUACACUCUCACUAAAUCUCUCGCUUAUGUACAGUUCCUAUUUAACCAACUGUUUGUUUUUUCUCUGUAGUUCAUGGAUCGUCUCUGUCCCUGGUGUCCAGCACGUCAUCUCUGUACUCUGCUGUGAGUGGCAUUUACACCAGCUGUCUUUACACUCAGAAAUAUUAUCCCAUUAGAAACAAGUAAGAAUUAGGUUUAAGUGAAGGGUGAAAUGUUUUUGAUGUUUUUUACGUUUUUAAAAAAAAUGAGAUUAGCAUUUGAGAGCAGACAGUCCUUAACUACAAAACUUUACAUUUAUCUACUUUCUUCCUUUCUUUCUUUCUUUUCUUUCUUUCUUUUUCUUUCUUCUUCUUCCUUUCUUCCUUCCUUUCUUUCUUUCGUUCUUUUUUCUUUCUUUAUGCUAUAAUUUCUUCUUCGAAAAACAUUUCUUUAAUGCCUCCUUUGUGUCCUAAAUCUUUUUUCUUUAAUUUCUCAUCCUGUUUUCUUUUAUAUUCUUUCUUUCUUCUUUCUUUCUUUCUUUCUUUCUUUCUUUCUUUCUUUCUUAUUUGGUUGGGUUUGUAUUUUUCAUUGCUAAUAUCUUCUUUUAUUUUUUUUAUUUAUUGAUUUGUUUAUUUAGUUGUUAAUUUGAUUCUUUAAUCUUUCUGACAUUACUUUUUUUCUUUCUUUAAUUGUUUGUUUUCUGAUUCUUCUUUCACUUUUUGAUAUGUUCGUUUGUUUGUUUCCCCCCUUAUUUUCAGUAUUUGUUAGUUUUUCUUUCUUUCUUUCUUUCUUUCUUUCUUUCUUUCUUUCUUUCUUUCUUUCUUUCUUUCUGUCUUUCUUGCUUUCUUUCUUUCUUUCUUUCUUUCUUUCUUUCUUGCUUUCUGCUGUCAUUUCUUUUCCUGAACACUUCUCCUUCAUUAAUUUUAAACUCUUCCUGUUAUGUGACCUCACAUGAAGGAGCUUUUUUAUUUGUGUUGGAUUUCUCACUGUUACUUUUCUGCAUCAUAUUUAGAAAAAAAAUACAGACACUGAUAUUCAUGAAAGCAUUGAAUGUGUGUUUCAUCAUUAAUUUUGGCGCCUCACUGGGGGCUGUACAGUUUAAACACACACACACUCUCUCACUUGCAGGUGUACGCCUACAUGGAAAAGGUAAAGGCGGUGUGUGUGGGGACACGCGUCUCUCCGAGUUUUAGUGAAUAAUAACUCUAACUGUCCAGCUGCAGAUUAAAGAUCCGGCACUAACGGGUGGAAUGGCUUCACUUCUACAGCUCACUACC